UCCCUGGUGUCUCAGAUGGUAAAGAAUCUGCCUGCAACGCAGAAGACCUGGGUUCAAUCCCUGGAUGGGGAC
rfam:Ovis aries breed Texel chromosome 6, whole genome shotgun sequence.